rnacentral:rRNA from 1 species
ACGAAGGUCCCAAGCGUUGUUCGGAUUUACUGGGCGUAAAGCGUGCGUAGGCGGCGAGGUAAGUCAGAUGUGAAAUCCCGGGGCUCAACCCCGGAACUGCAUCCGAUACUGCCCUGCUAGAGUAAUGGAGGGGCAUCUGGAAUUCAUGGUGUAGCAGUGAAAUGCGUAGAUAUCAUGAGGAACACUAGUGGCGAAGGCGAGAUGCUGGACAUUUACUGACGCUGAGGUACGAAGGCCAGGGUAGCGAAAAGG